UACGUAGGGUGCGAGCGUUAAUCGGAAUUACUGGGCGUAAAGCGUGCGCAGGCGGCGCGUUAAGACAGGUGUGAAAGCCCCGAGCUUAACUUGGGAAUUGCGCUUGUGACUGGCGUGCUGGAGUGUGGCAGAGGGAGGUGGAAUUCCACGUGUAGCAGUGAAAUGCGUAGAGAUCGGCAGGAACACCCAAGGGGAAGCCAGCCGACUGGCCCGCACCUGACACUCAGGGACGACAGCGUGGGGAGCGAACCGG
rnacentral:rRNA from 1 species